GGGGAUUUAGCUCAGUGGUAGAGCGCUUGCCUAGCAAGCGCAAGAACCCUUGGUUCGGUCCCCA
rnacentral:tRNA from 1 species